ensembl:lncRNA
AAACGCACUGCCAGGGUGGUCUUCAGUUGUGUGUUUGUGUAACCUGUUUUCACAGAUGAGGCGAGCCAACAUUUUUCUCCUGACAGUCAGUUUUUCUUGGGCAUUAAUUCCCAUACAUUGUUUUUCUCCAGGCUAAAUGCACUUCCAAAUUCAAAGUUGAUUAGACACGCUACAUGUUAACGCCUGAUUUAAUUGCGGAUGUGCAGACACGCAGAGGCAGCCAGCCUCCCCCCAGCUCUCCUUGGCAGAAUCCAGCCUGAGCACAGCUGUCAGGACAGCUGGCCUCCGUCCCACAGGGCCAAGCACAUGGCUUCCCACAGUGUCUGUUCCCAUCUCAGGGCCAGUGGGAUUCUGUCUUGAUCUCCAGGACUUUCCCUACAGAGGCUCCUCUGUCCAUGGGAUUCUCCAGGCAAGAAUGUUGGAGUGGAUUGCCAUUUCCUCCUCCAGGGGAUCUUCCCAACCCAGGGAUUGAGCCCGCCCACGUCUCUAUGUCUUCCUGCCUUGGCAGGCGGGUUCUUUACCACUACUGUGAAGUGGCACCAACUCCUGCCUGCCUAGGAGACAGCAGCUCACGUCCGUUUAACAAAUCCCAGGCACCACUGAAUUAAAAAAAAAGAUGAUUGGUCCCUUUUAUCUGGGGCUACACACGUGGGUGUUAGGAAGUCUUGAUGUGUGCAGCCCCUUAACACUGAUCUGAAGAAGG